AUGGUGAAAGGGAAAGUGUAUGGGAAGAAGAAGUUGCAGAGGGUGGUGAUUUUGCUGAUGAUGAUUGAGGGCACUGAGAAAAUAACGAUUUCUGGUUUGUUUUUGUUUGAAAGCAAGGCAUGGGUCGGAAUUGUACCAAGCCAGUUUGCUGAUGGAUGCAGGGAUUUAGUAGAGGUAUAUGUUGCCGCAACUCUAGUGGUGUCUCGGCAUGGUUUCAAGGUCCAUUGA